UACAGAGGGUGCAAGCGUUGUCCGGAAUUACUGGGCGUAAAGGGCGCGUAGGCGGCCCUGUCAGUCGGGUGUGAAAGCCCGGGGCUCAACCCCGGAACGGCACCCGAGACGGCGGGGCUGGAGACCGGGAGAGGAGGGUGGAAUAGCCAGUGUAGAGGUGAAAUUCGUAGAUAUUGGCUGGAACACCGGUGGCGAAAGCGGCUCUCUGGCCCGGUUCUGACGCUGAGGCGCGAAAGCGUGGGGAGCAAACAGG
rnacentral:rRNA from 1 species